AGAGUUUGAUCCUGGCUCAGAAUCAACGCUGGCGGCGUGCCUAACACAUGCAAGUCGAGCGAGAAAGUGGGGGCAACUCCAUGAGUACAGCGGCGACCGGGUGAGUAACACGUGACUAACCUACCCUUGAGUGGGGAAUAACUCCGGGAAACCGGAGCUAAUACCGCAUAACACCGCAAGGUCAAAGGAGCAAUUCGCUUAAGGAGGGGGUCGCGGUUGAUUAGCUAGUUGGUGGGGUAAUGGCCCACCAAGGCGAUGAUCAAUAGCCGGCCUGAGAGGGCGCACGGCCACACUGGAACUGAAACACGGUCCAGACUCCUACGGGAGGCAGCAGUGGGGAAUUUUGCGCAAUGGGGGAAACCCUGACGCAGCAACGCCGCGUGGAGGAUGAAGGUCUUUGGAUUGUAAACUCCUUUCGAUCGGGAAGAUUAUGACGGUACCGGAAGAAGAAGCCCCGGCUAACUUCGUGCCAGCCGCCGCGGUAAUAC
rnacentral:rRNA from 1 species